rnacentral:rRNA from 1 species
UACGUAGGGUGCAAGCGUUAAUCGGAAUUACUGGGCGUAAAGCGUGCGCAGGCGGUUUUGUAAGUCUGUCGUGAAAUCCCCGGGCUCAACCUGGGAACUGCAUUGGUGACUGGCAGGCUUUGAGUGUGGCAGAGGGAGGUAGAAUUCCACGUGUAGCGGUGAAAUGCGUAGAGAUCCGGAGGAACACCAGUGGCGCAGGCGGCUCUCUGGGUCGGCCCUGACGUGAGGCGCGAAAGCGUGG